GUGGGGAAUCUUCCACAAUGGACGAAAGUCUGAUGGAGCAACGCCGCGUGAGUGAAGAAGGGUUUCGGCUCGUAAAGCUCUGUUGUCGGGGACGAAUGUGCAGUAUUUGAAUAAAGUACUGCAAUGACGGUACCUGACGAGGAAGCCACGGCUAACUACGUGCCAGCAGCCGCGGUAAUACGUAGGUGGCAAGCGUUGUCCGGAAUUAUUGGGCGUAAAGGGAGCGCAGGCGGGAAGGUAAGUCGGUCUUAAAAGUGCGGGGCUCAACCCCGUGAUGGGAUGGAAACUAUCUUGCUUGAGUGUCGGAGAGGAAAGUGGAAUUCCAAGUGUAGCGGUGAAAUGCGUAGAGAUUUGGAAGAACACCAGUGGCGAAGGCGACUUUCUGGACGAUGUCUGACGCUGAGGCGCGAAAGCUAGGGGAGCGAACGGGAUUAGAUACCCUGGUAGUCC
rnacentral:rRNA from 1 species